rnacentral:rRNA from 1 species
UGGGGAAUUUUGGACAAUGGGCGCAAGCCUGAUCCAGCAAUGCCGCGUGCAGGAUGAAGGCCUUCGGGUUGUAAACUGCUUUUGUACGGAGCGAAAAGGCUUCCACUAAUACUGGGGGCUCAUGACGGUACCGUAAGAAUAAGCACCGGCUAACUACGUGCCAGCAGCCGCGGUAAUACGUAGGGUGCAAGCGUUAAUCGGAAUUACUGGGCGUAAAGCGUGCGCAGGCGGUUAUGUAAGACAGAUGUGAAAUCCCCGGGCUCAACCUGGGAACUGCAUUUGUGACUGCAUCGCUGGAGUGCGGCAGAGGGGGAUGGAAUUCCGCGUGUAGCAGUGAAAUGCGUAGAUAUGCGGAGGAACACCGAUGGCGAAGGCAAUCCCCUGGGCCUGCACUGACGCUCAUGCACGAAAGCGUGGGGAGCAAACA